UACGUAGGUGGCAAGCGUUGUCCGGAUUUACUGGGCGUAAAGAGCGCGCAGGCGGUCGAUCAAGUCGCGUGUGAAAGCCCCCGGCUCAACCGGGGAAGGGGUGCCGAGACGUCCCGCCUGGAGGGGCGUAGGGGGACCCGGAACUUCCGGUGGAGCGGUGAAAUGCGUUGAGAUCGGAAGGAACGCCCGUGGCGAAAGCGGGGUCCUGGACGCCAGCUGACGCUGAGGCGCGAAAGCCAGGGGAGCGAACGGG
rnacentral:rRNA from 1 species